CUUGAUUUUAACUUAUAUAGGGAAUCACUGGAGCGUGACAGCAGCGGGCCCUCUUAGGCAGUCAGUGGGCCCCUACUAAUGAAAAAUUCUAGAUCCGCGAAUGGAUACUACCGCAGAGGUAAAACCAUACACAUAUGGGUUAUUGUACAUGAAAUGCAUGCUUCAAUUCAUUUUUGUUGAUUAUAGACCCUUUGGAACUCUAUGUGGGCUAUUUCAGCAACUAGGCAAACAAUCCCCAAACUAGAUACACGGUUAGAUUCAGCAUGUCAACGAAUUCCAAAUAUCUAUAUUAAAGGACAUUUGUCUAUAAAUUUGGACCCCACAAAAUUGAAAAAGGGAUCAAAAAUAUAAAAAAAUGCAUGCAUCGAAUACAUUUGUUAUUGAAGGCAUGACUGUAACAAUAGGAUGAAUAUACAAAAAUAUCUUAUUCUGGGGUCUCAUUGGGGGGUUCUGAUCCCGGAUCCCGCUUACUGUUUUGGCAGAUUCCCGUAUUCCGCUUAUUGUUUUGUCAGAUUCCCGUAUCCCGCUUAUACUAU
rnacentral:lncRNA from 1 species